UAACAUCCGGAAACGGGUGCUAAUACCGCAUAGUUUCUUGAUCGCAUGAUCGGAAAGGAAAGACGGCCUUUGUGCUGUCGCUUAUGGAUGGACCCGCGGCGUAUUAGUUAGUUGGUGAGGUAACGGCUCACCAAGACGAUGAUACGUAGCCGACCUGAGACGGGUGAUCGGCCACAUUGGGACUGAGACACGGCCCAAACUCCUACGGGAGGCAGCAGUAGGGAAUCUUCCGCAAUGGACGAAAGUCUGACGGAGCAACGCCGCGUGAGUGAAGAAAAGGUUUUCGGAUCGUAAAACUCUGUUGUCAGAGAAGAACAAGUUGGAGAGUAACUGCUCCAGCCUUGACGGUAUCUGACCAGAAAGCCACGGCUAACUACGUGCCAGCCGCAGC
rnacentral:rRNA from 1 species